rnacentral:rRNA from 1 species
GACGAACGCUGGCGGCGUGCUUAACACAUGCAAGUCGAACGGAAAGGCCCAGCUUGCUGGGUGCUCGAGUGUCGAACGGGUGAGUAACACGUGGGUGAUCUGCCCCUAACUUCGGGAUAAGCUUGGGAAACUGGGUCUAAUACCGGAUAGGACAAUCGUUUAGUGUCGGUUGUGGAAAGUUUUUUCGGUUAGGGAUGAGCCCGCGGCCUAUCAGCUUGUUGGUGGGGUAAUGGCCUACCAAGGCGUCGACGGGUAGCCGGCCUGAGAGGGUGGACGGCCACAUUGGGACUGAGAUACGGCCCAGACUCCUACGGGAGGCAGCAGUGGGGAAUAUUGCACAAUGGGCGCAAGCCUGAUGCAGCGACGCCGCGUGGGGGAUGACGGCCUUCGGGUUGUAAACCUCUUUCGACAGGGACGAAGCUUUGGUGACGGUACCUGUAUAAGAAGCACCGGCUAACUACGUGC